UUAGUCGCCACCGUUCUGAGCCCUUGCCCGCCCCGCCGCCUCUGCUCUCCCUGCCCUACUGCGAUCUCGAUCCUAUUCGUACGGCGACGGUGCGACACUGCCUUCUUCACUUGUCAAAUCUUCCGGCUGCAACCAGCGGGAACUAGCCGAGGACCCAAGGUUUAACACACAUCAAUAUGAAGAGAAAAGUGUCGCCAUACACCGUUAAGAUUAAUUCAUUCUUUAGGCUGGUUGCUUCAAGAUCUCAACCUAGUGAAUUUUUUAAUGGGGCUGAUAUGUUGGACAUAGUAAAUGUUGCAGAACAAGAACAAAAUUGGCUUAUGAGAGACCCUGGUAAACAUUGUCAAAUUUGAGAGCUGCGACUGGACAAGCAAGAUGAAGAUCGGCAUUUUCAUAUAUCCGAGGGACCAUAUCAGCCGAUAAUUAAGUGCCCCGAAACACUCUAAACAGUAAUUUAUCAUUUAAGCGCCGUCAAAUGGGAUAUGACUUACUUCGGUGUUACAUGAUUAGAUACAUUGAAAUAAUUAGCAGGUAAUUUCUCUUCCAAUGAAAUUAUUAAAUUUUCUCAUCUUAUUGGCAAUUGUAGAGGAAACUUUAAACUCGUACAAUAUUUUAUAGGUGUGGCACAUUAUUAUAGUAUGAUGAUAGUUAUUUUUCCAGUCGAGACAAAAAAAAUAUGAACUUGACUUGGCCCUCC